CCAACAUUGACAUUUCUCCCUCCAACUCUCCAAGUGGCUAGGCUACCCUCCGUUCAUGCACACACCAUGCCUGCCUGUGAUACUAAUAUUACUCCUUUUAAUGUGGACCGUUUGAUUUGGAAUGGGGAUCAGAGACAGCCUAAUCGGACGCCGCUGAACUCGUUGUCCAAAUAUUCAGUGGGCCUAACAAUUACGUGUUUUAAAUUAUAGGUGACGGUGAGGGUGUUGAGGAUUUGAUUUCAAUUGCAUCCAGAUAUAUUUUUUUUCUAAUAUUAUUUUUAAAAAUAGGUUUUGUGUACGGACGAGUCCUCGGUCUUCUGAGGGCCCACAUGCAAGUUGAUCUUCAAAACCGAGCGCUGAAGACGGUGGGUCAGCCCCUUUUUUGGGCUUUGCCUCUGUGGACUUGUGGUUUCGGUUUUCUUACGUGGGUCCUGCUGCUGCUUCUUUCAGAUUCCACUCUAAUUUUUUAAUUCUAAUAAUACGAUGGAUUUACGUGUAAUUAACCUUUUUCUUUUCUUUUAAUAUAAUUCAGUUUGG
rnacentral:lncRNA from 1 species